AUUGAACGCUGGCGGCAGGCUUAAACAAGCAAGUCGAGCGAGCGGGGGAAGGGGGAGUAAUGUCUGGGAAACUGCCUGAAGGAGGGGGAUAACUAAGGGGAACGGUAGCUAAUACCGCAUACCAUCAGACGUGCCCAAAGGGGAUUAGCUAGUAGGUGGGGUAAUGGCUCACCUAGGCGACGAUCCCUAGCUGGUCUGGGAGGAUGACCAGCCACACUGGAACUGAGACACGGUCCAGACUCCUACGGGAGGCAGCAGUGGGGAAUAUUGCACAAUGGGCGCAAGCCUGAUGCAGCCAUGCCGCGUGUGUGAAGAAGGCCUUCGGGUUGUAAAGCACUUUCAGCGAGGAGGCGUUACUCGCAGAAGAAGCACCGGCUAACUCCGUGCCAGCAGCCGCGGUAAUAC
rnacentral:rRNA from 1 species